rnacentral:tRNA from 1 species
AGAUAAGUAGUUUAAAAUAAAACUCAAGACUGUUACUCUUGUAAACCCAUCAGGGCUUACCUC